rnacentral:rRNA from 1 species
GGACGAACGCUGGCGGCAUGCCUAACACAUGCAAGUCGAACGAGGAUAGCAAUAUCCGAGUGGCGAACGGGUGAGUAACACGUGAGCAACCUGCCUUACACAACGGGAUACCUACUGGAAACAGUAGUUAAUACGGUAUAAGACCACAGUACCGCAUGAUACAGUGGUAAAAGAUUUUAUCGGUGUAAGAUGGGCUCGCGGCGCAUUAGCUAGUUGGAGAGGUAACGGCUCACCAAGGCGACGAUGCGUAGCCGACCUGAGAGGGUGAUCGGCCACAUUGGGACUGAGAUACGGCCCAGACUCCUACGGGAGGCAGCAGUGGGGAAUAUUGGGCAAUGGAGGAAACUCUUACCCAGCCAACGCCGCGUGAGUGAAGAAGGUCGUAAGAUUGUAAAGCUCUUUAGUCAGGGAAAAAGAUAGUGAUUGAUCUGAAGAAUAAGCUCCGGCUAACUACGUGCCAGCCGCCGC